rnacentral:rRNA from 1 species
UACAGAGGGUGCGAGCGUUAAUCGGAAUUACUGGGCGUAAAGCGCGCGUAGGCGGCUUUGCAAGUCGGGUGUGAAAUCCCCAGGCUUAAACCUGGGAACUGCAUUCGAGACUGCAUUGCUAGAGUAUGGGAGAGGAAGUGGAAUUUCCGGUGUAGCGGUGAAAUGCGUAGAUAUCGGAAGGAACAUCAGUGGCGAAAGCGACUUCCUGGACCAAUACUGACGCUCAUGUGCGAAAGCGUGGGGAGCAAACAGG